rnacentral:rRNA from 1 species
UAGGUGUGGGGGACAUUCCACGUUUUCCGCGCCGUAGCUAACGCAUUAAGUGCCCCGCCUGGGGAGUACGGCCGCAAGGCUAAAACUCAAAGGAAUUGACGGGGGCCCGCACAAGCGGCGGAGCAUGCGGAUUAAUUCGAUGCAACGCGAAGAACCUUACCAAGGCUUGACAUGCACUAGACCGUCCCAGGGAUGGGAUUUCCACUUUGUGGUUGGUGUACAGGUGGUGCAUGGUUGUCGUCAGCUCGUGUCGUGAGAUGUUGGGUUAAGUCCCGCAACGAGCGCAACCCUCGUUCCAUGUUGCCAGCACGCUCCUUCGGGGGUGGUGGGGACUCAUGGGAGACUGCCGGGGUCAACUCGGAGGAAGGUGGGGAUGACGUCAAAUCAUCAUGCCCCUUAUGUCUUGGGCUUCACGCAUGCUACAAUGGCCGGUACAAAGGGUUGCGAUACUGUGAGGUGGAGCUAAUCCCAAAAAGCCGGUCUCAGUUCGGAUCGUGGUCUGCAACUCGACCACGUGAAGUCGGAGUCGCUAGUAAUCGCAGAUCAGCAACGCUGCGGUGAAUACGUUCCCGGGCCUUGUACACACCGCCCGUCAAGUCACGAAAGUUGGUAACACCCGAAGCCGGUGGCCUAACCCUUGUGGGGGGAGCCGUCGAAGGUGGGGCUG